rnacentral:rRNA from 1 species
AUUGAACGCUGGCGGCAUGCCUUACACAUGCAAGUCGAACGGCAGCGGGGGAGAAGCUUGCUUUUCCUGCCGGCGAGUGGCGAACGGGUGAGUAAUACAUCGGAACGUGCCCUGUAGUGGGGGAUAACUAGUCGAAAGAUUAGCUAAUACCGCAUACGACCUGAGGGUGAAAGUGGGGGACCGCAAGGCCUCAUGCUAUAGGAGCGGCCGAUGUCUGAUUAGCUAGUUGGUGGGGUAAAGGCCUACCAAGGCGACGAUCAGUAGCUGGUCUGAGAGGGCGAUCAGCCACACUGGGACUGAGAAACGGCCCAGACUCCUACGGGAGGCAGCAGUGGGGAAUUUUGGACAAUGGGCGAAAGCCUGAUCCAGCAAUGCCGCGUGUGUGAAGAAGGCCUUCGGGUUGUAAAGCACUUUUGUCCGGAAAGAAAUGGCUCUGGUUAAUACCUGGGGUCGAUGACGGUACCGGAAGAAUAAGGACCGGCUAACCACGUGCCAGCCGCCGCGGUAA